UACGUAGGUGGCAAGCGUUGUCCGGAUUUACUGGGCGUAAAGAGCGCGCAGGCGGUCGUUCAAGUCGCGUGUGAAAGCCCCCGGCUCAACUGGGGAGGGUCACGCGAUACUGAUCGACUCGAAGGCAGGAGGGGGAAGUGGAAUUCCCGGUGUAGUGGUGAAAUGCGUAGAUAUCGGGAGGAACACCAGUGGCGAAGGCGACUUCCUGGCCUGUUCUUGACGCUGAGGCGCGAAAGCUAGGGGAGCAAACGGG
rnacentral:rRNA from 1 species